AUGGAAGCAGAACUCACAUCACUAGAUACAGCUACGGUCGAAGCAGAUUGGCUUCGCCGGCUCUUGAAUGACUUGCCGGUUGUUGAGAAACCUGUACCGGGUAUCCUUAUGAACUGCGACAAUCAAACUGUGAUCACGAAAGUGAGCAGCUCAAAGGAUAACAUGAAGUCAUCAAGACACGUUCAGAGAAGGUUAAAGUCUAUCAGGAAAAUGAGAAACUCUGGAGUUAUUGCAUUGGACUAUAUCCAAACGUCUAAAAAUCUGGCAUAUCCUUUUACUAAGGGUCUAUCAUGUAAUGUGAUAGAUAAUGCAUCGAGGGAGAUGGGUAUGAGACCCACAAUAUGA
rnacentral:rRNA from 1 species